ensembl:lncRNA
GAAAAAAACCAAGUGAUGUACACUGUCACUCACAGAAACUCUAAGUCAACAAGUACAGAGACGCAGAGUGAAAAACCCAAGCCCUUUAAAGAGGCUUGUACGUUCUUGUGAGAGAGCAGGCCGGUCUUUCUCGGCGAGACAAAGGUGCGGGACAGUUUAUUAGUUCAAGGCUGAGCUCCCCGGCUGCCACUGCCGGCGCCUCUUCAAGGCCAGCUCCCGGCCCUUGCCGGUCCUUCAGAUUUAAUGUUGCCAUUUUACUCUGGAAUCUGGUUAAAAUGAAUAACCCCUUUGGAGAACAACAGAAGUCGUCUUUGCUCUGCCAUCUUUCACCACUUCCAGCUUGAACAUCUGGAAGCUCACGGUUCACGUAUUGCUGAAGUGGUGCGUGGCGCAGGAGUGGCUGAGAGGAGGACCCCACGUCCCAGGUCAGGAGUGGCGGCCAAGAGGAACACACUGGUCAUAACAAACACCCUCUUCCAACAACACAAGAGAAGACUCUACACGUGGACAUCACCAGAUGGUCAACACCAAAAUCAGACUGAUUAUAUUCUUUGCAGCCAAAGAUGGAGAUUAUGUCACAGUAUGACUUUAUAAGGCAUCCAGGUUGUAAAACGGUCAGAGGAAACGCAAGCUCACCUGCAUGUGCUCUGCUCGGUGACAGCAGACCUCAGCACUCGGGAGUCAGGCGCCUGUGAUUUUAACUGAGUGGAACUGUUUCGUGCAGAGUUCAGUUACUUCUGUCAUUUCUCACGUCCGUAUCCUUUUGGAGUCCUCUCUGGGUCCUCCUACGACAAUAUUAUUAAAAACACGAUGUGUAUAAUUUCAUAACGCUCUCCAUGCUACUUAAUAAUAAUUAGCACAUAUUUUGGCAUAUGUGCUUUUCUGUUCAUUGUUUUAUAUCAAUUCAUAUUAUGUUUCCCUGUAUCUUGAUUUUUAAAAAU